GUUUCCGUAGUGUAGCGGUUAUCACGUGAGUCUAACACACUCAAGGUCCCGGUUCGAGCCCGGGCGGAAACA
rnacentral:tRNA from 1 species